rnacentral:lncRNA from 1 species
AGUUUCACCAUGUUGGCCAGGCUGGUCUCGAACUCCUGACCUCAAGUGAUCCGCCUGCCUUGGCUUCGCAAAGUGCUGGGAUUACAGGCCUGAGCCACCACACCCAGCCAACACUGGGAUCUUGUAGACUGUGCUAUUCAUUCAGGGUAUUCCCAAUAAGUACCUUGCUGAACCCUAACAACAAACUUCUAGAUGUGAGCCUCAAGACACAGGGACUGAAGGUGACACUGGCAUAUGUAGGCAGGCCAGACAUGCUGCAAAGCUGGGCACCCACCCCACCUUACCCUCUUUUCGUCAAGAGUAUAUAACUUCCUACUGAGCACUGUUUUGAGAACUCACUGUGCUGAGUUGUUUUUGUACAGUAUCCCAUUGAAAACUCAGAACAGUCCUAUAGUGUAACUACUGUUUCCCCAUCUCACAGGUGCUUACAGAGGUUAAUUCCAUAGCUGUUAAGGGGUACAACACGUCCUACUGCCUGCAACUCCCUCCCGUGGGCCUUUGUCUCAGAUCCAGCAACCAUUCAGACUCAAGAUCCCUGCAGGCUACGCUGGGCGUGGCAUUUACUUUGAAGGCUGUCAGACAGGAAAUGGCCUGGCUGCAGGGCAGCAGGAAGCAGCCCUCUUCAGGGGAGGAGGGCAGUCCUCGCAGAGCCUCCAGUCAUCUAUCGGUCAUGGGAGUUAUUCUCCUUGGUUGCCCAGGUGACAGCUCAGGUACAAAGGAAUGAGACACAUGAGGGAGAAGGGGGUUGGUUCACUGUGGCUUAGAGGCAUCAUUCCCCAAAGGUGCUCAUAUCUCUUUGAACAACUCAAGAGGCACAGCUUUCAGGGACCCCAUAAGCCACAUACCCAACUGAGUCAUUACACAUAGGAAGCCCAACAUUAUGGCUUUUUAACAAGUGUUUAUAGUUCACACAGAAAACUCCAAGUGCAGAUAAUUUACAAUUAGGAAUCAUGUUUACCAUAAGUAGUGCUGCACUGAAACAGCUGACAUACUUUUAUCUGGUUUCCAGACAAAACUAGAAAGGUAACCAGAUGUCAGGUUCUGCAGGAAGGGAGAGGAUUAUUCACACUGCCAUAACCUCUGGGGUCAAAACUAAAUGUUGUUUAAGGAGGAAGAAAAAAACCCCUCAACUUUGGAAAUUGUUUCAAAAGCCAGGCUUUCUAAUAGUGACCCAGAAUCAUUAGCAGCACUCACACUGGCCUCAGACCCAGUGCACACAUGCUGCAGUGUUGGAGAGACCGUUCCAUGAACCCCAGCAGUCCAGUAGCCCACCAAGUGGAAAGGCACAGGUGACAGAGGUCUCGUGGCACCAGCUUCACGUGGCUCACCCUCAAUGCUCGGACAGGGAGAUGAUACUGACUUUGCUGAGCUCAGAAGGGAAACACCAAACACUUGGGGAGGUAACAGAGAUCUAGGCCCCACCUAAGGCCGAAUCAACUGUUCCUGCCCUCACACUGGUGCUAUACUCCCUCGUUGGGAAGAGCCUGAAGGUGAAUCCCUCCUUCUUUACCACCAAAACGAAAAGUGUGGGAAACCUUGAGAAAAGGGUCCCGACACUUCUUCCCUCAGGAGCCCUCAGCUUUUUGCAGCCUCUUUACCUAAGUACCCUGAGUCACUGGACAUGGUCUUGCCACCACAGUCCGUCAGGGCAGCGCCACAGCUUCCAGCCUCCAGCCCAGGGGCAGUCACAGCCGAGCAUCAGAACUGUGGCUCUGUGCAGUGCCAAAGCGACUGCAGGUGCCCACAGAGGCUGGCAGCCCACAGUACCCAGGGCACAGACACUAGGAUGGAGCCACUCAAGUCAGAGAUACUCUGCAGCAGCUGGAGCUGGGCCCUGUCAGAAGCCAGGUGGAGAUCCUCAGGCUGAAGGCAGCACACCAGGGGAGGGCUUGAGACCAAGGGAGGCUGGAGUGAUGUGGGUCCCGGGACCUGGAAAGCUGUGUCUGUAACUCCCCUCCCCAGAGUUCACUCUUCUUGAUCAUCAUUGUUCUCUCCUGCACCUGCCUGGGCUUAUUCCUCUUCCCUAUCCCUCUGCCCCUUGACUAACCUUCCUGGGCAAACAGCACAGACUGUGACGUGGGAGCUGUGAAGAGGGGAUGGCAUCCCUGCUGUGGGUUCAGGGAUUGUGGCCAUGUGGGCCACCCAGUGGACACUGUCCAGAUAACAUGAAAAGAGGCCAUCCACAGCAGCUCAGCUCUCUGCCCCUCAUCUUUGGGCCCCACCUCACAUUCAUAAAGAGGCUUAAAUUCUAGGGUUUUUUCCUUCAGUUCAAGAUGAGGUUUGUCAGUGAGGUCACAGACGUCCAGCAAGAGGGUUAGCGGGGUUGCUUAUCCCCCAACUCGGAACCCACCACCCCGAGCUGCCUGCAGAGGACCUAUACUUUCUAAUACUAUGACCCAAUACUAGAGAGCCAGAGACACCGUAAAUAACCGUUAUCUUAUAUUUAUGUAUUUAAAAGAUGGUUCAUAAAUGUAUUUAGUGCUUACCAUGUAAGACAAUUUUUACCCCCAUCUCCAAAACGAAGUAGAACUGAUAUUCAGCUCACAGAAGGCUGUUAAAGGCACCAGAGAAAUACGUGAUGCAGUGGCUUAAAGAGACUGCCAGGAAGAGUGGGCAAAGUUUCUGCACUGAAGUCAAUUUGGGAAAUGUCAUACAGAUCAGCCACCCAAUAGCAAGGCCUCUAGGUAAGUAGGGAGAACGCCUCUGGUCCUGUUCGGGUGUUUCGUCUGUCAAGGUGCUUCUCCUGGCCAGCUGUGUCUGCACAGUUCAACACGACUUGAGUUGGCCAUCUCAAAACAGCUAUAGCCUCAGUUGCUGUGAGGGCACCUCAUGGAUGACAGAGGCAAGAAAGGCUUGAGGGAGAGGGGGUGAGGCAGGGGGAGCUUGGAGCCUUCAUUCUCUAACCCUAAGAGCUGUGGACACAGAGCCGAGUCCAACCUGGCUGCUGCCUGGGCAGGCAAGGAGAGGGCACCGAACGCACUCCCCCCAGAGCCUCGCACUGCCACCAGUUGAGGCCUGUGCCCCUCUCUUCCCUGCACACCAUAGCCUCUCUUCUUGAGUGCCCUACCCAAACUACUGCCUAGGAAACAAACAUUUGGUAACAUCUUCAGAAAGGCUGCUUGCAAGGAAGGCAACUUCUCUAUGCUGUCAAACAGCUUCCUUAGUUGAAGCAUCUAACUCUGGCCCCGUCCUUACUGCCCCCAGUCGGGGCUUCCAGAAGCAGUGUGGGCAAGUGCUGCUGGCCUUCUGCAGAAUGAUGAGCACUGGUCAGUCCUGUGCUGAUAAAGGCUGGUGUGUCCCCCAUGUCUUGGUUUCUCAAACAGCAGGUAACAACCUCAUCUUUCCAAAGAGAUAGCUGUGCCUGACCUGUUUUUCAGGGCUCUUCUGGACAGCAGCCUGCUUCCAGCACAGAGAAGGGCCUGGCCUCAGGGGGAACCCUGGAGCCCACCAUGUGCCUCCUGCUCCAUCUUGGGAGCAGCAGGGCCCUGUCGGCACUCAGUAGAGCCUGGGAUUGGUGACUGAAGAGGGAGGUGGAGGCUUUAGGCAGCAGCGCUGAAAGAGGUGGCAACAGAUGACCUGCAUGGGAACUGGGGCCUGCAGAGACAUCACAGAGCGGGGGAAGUGUCUUCAGCUCUCGAAUUCUGGAAGCUGUCAGGGGAAGGGAGUCCCACAGCCAAACUGCAUGGUGGGUGGGCCACUGGGUCUGCUUCCAGUGUGUGGCGGGGCCCACAGGGAGCUGAGUUUUCCUGUUGGAUUUCCCACACCCGGCCUGCCUGUGUCUGGCCAAGAAGGCAUUGUUGAGCCUCAUGAGAUCACAAAGGUAGCUGUGCAGGCCCCGCCCACUUCCUAUAAGCCUGGUU